AAAUUUGUAAACAAAAUUUUGCAAACUAAAUGACAUGGAAGUUGAUGAUUGACUCAUUCUUAUUGAUGACACAUCGUUUAGUUUGCAAAAUUUGUCUACAAAUU
rnacentral:pre_miRNA from 1 species